rnacentral:lncRNA from 1 species
CCCCUCUGAAUUUCCUCCUCUCCUCGCUACUUCCUGCAUGAGACUGAACAUCGCCUGACACAGAGAGUGCGAUAUUCUCCCUCAGGAGAAACACUUUUUUAUUCUCCUACAUCAGCAUAGAACAAGUAACUGGUCUCACACGUAUAAACUGGAUGGGCUGGUGAAGCACAUGGAUCCCAAGGCCACUUCCGCUGACAUCCUGAAAUGAUGGUCAAAUGUAACUUCCUCCUGGAAGCUCCUCCUUGGAUCUGUACAAGCUGGAUCCCAGAUCUCUUCAGCACCCUGACUGAUAUCGCAUCUCAGGUGAUGUCUCAGGCAGACCACGAGAGAGACCAACCGACUAGGGAUGCGAUGCUGCAGAGGGAGCAGCUGCCUGGCAACCUCCAGGGUGAAAGCCUGAUAACUCGAGGAUGCUGAUAACCAGAGCGCAGAGAGCCUGCUCCCGAUGGCCGUGUGGAGCACUAGUUGGGAAAUUUAGAAAACACCUUGCCAGUGAAUUCAUCCCAGACUCUUUCUUUGAGGGAAAGGCUUGCAUUAAAUGUCCCUGUGUGUCCACUCAGUGCUUAGAUGGGUUCUAGUCUGAUAAGUAUUUGCUGGGAAAAAUAAACAAGCAGAGUUUUGUGACGAGCGCUGGCCCGGGUCUGGGACGCCUGAGUCUGGGCUUCUGGAUGCUGUGCCUGGCGCUGUUUCCGGCUGAUCCAGUGGACGCUCACAGCCUAGUAUCCCUGCUGGUGCCUCUACAGGGUCAGGAGAAACUGAUGGGUGCUUUCCUGGCUACAUUUGCAGCUUGAGGUGACAACAUGACGUGGUUCUGAUCAAUGCAGUACGAAUGGAUGUUGGCAAAGCUCAGAAAAAACUUGAAAAAAUCAUCCUUAUGAGAUUAGAGUCUACAUCAAGAAAAAAAGCAUCCAUUUCUUGUGCACAGUUCCAUGAAUUGAAAGAUGAAUGCAUGCAUUUGAUCAACACCACUAGCAAGAUGCAGAAAACUUCCACCAACUGCUUUUUUCGAUAGCAUAUAGACAUCCAGUUAGUGUUUUGUGUGUCUACCAUCUCCACUGACAACCAAUAAGCUUAUCUAUUAAUUUAAGCCCCCCCUUCCAGAUUCUUUGGGAUUUUCAAUGUACACAAUCAUGCUGAGUGUAAAUAAGGACACUCAUUUCUUUCUUUUCAAUCUGUUUUUUUCCCCCUUAGCUUAUUGUCCUAGAGAGGGUCUGCUAUGCAAAGCUGAGUAGAGAGGUGCCUGUAUAUGUCCUUGCCUUGUUCCUGAUCUUAGGUAGUUUUUUCAUAGAUACUCUUUAUUAGCCUAAAACAUCCCUUUCUUUUGAGUUUGCUUGGGCUUCUUUUUUAAAAAUCAUAAAUGGAGGUUGAAUUUUGUCAAAUGCUUUCUCUGAUUCUAUUGAGACAGUGGAACUCAGAGAGCUUUUCUUUGACAUUUUACAGAUUGAUUUUCAAAUACUGAAUCAACCAUGUAUUCCUGUGAUACACCCACAUGAUCACAUGUCGCACUUGCAGGAAAAUGAUGCACCAUGGGAUUACAAUGUUAUAUGAAGUAAAUCAGACACACAAACAUAAAUAUCACAUGGGUUAUCUUAUGUGAGAAACCCUAAGUGUAAAUAAAGAGCAAAAUAAAAGCUAGAUAGUAAAUAAGUAAAGCUAGAUCUUUCACAAAAGGCAAAGGAGGACCAAGAGACGAUGGGAGCAGAAGGGAUAGGAGGUUAAGGGGGUGAAAAAAGACAAAUUGUGUUAUGCACAUGUACCAGCUCCCCAUGAGGAAGGUAACCAUUGUGUACUGCAAACAUGUAUUCAUAAAAAAUAAAAAUUGAAAAAAACAUUCUUGGAUUUUGCUAAUAUUUUUUGAGCAUUUCUGUAUCUAUCGUCAAAGGGAUAUUGGUCCCAGCCCUCUGGGAGGCUGAGG